UGGGUGGGAGGUCCAAUAGGGGGCGCCGCGUUGGAACGCCUGAAGAGGUGCUGCUGGGGUGGUUAGAAGCCGUUGGGGGGUGGGUGUAUGGCGGCUAGGCCUGGAAGACCACGAGGACCGCUAGCGCCGUGGGGUCAUUAUUCCUCAUGCCACAGGUUGCCGAGCCUCCGGGGAGAGGUGGGGUCCCAGGGGCCAACCCUUGGGUGUGUUGAUGGCGGCAGGCUAACCUAGCCAACGGGGUGCCGCUGCCGGGCAAGGUGAGGAGCAAGAAGAUUUCCAGGGCUGGGAGGUAGAGGGCCAGGACCCCAAGGAGAGGGCUUACUGCGAGGAGCAGCCCAGGAUGGAUAAGGAGUUGAGGCCCCAGGGAUGCUGAGCCUGCACAAGUGGAAGUGACUGGCUACCAGACUCGGAAAAACCUAAGUCCUUUAGGUGAGUGGAGCUAAGAGCUGAAACAUCAGUAGUGGGGUCUGGGACCCCAGAAGUGUGGCGAAAUGUUCGAGGAGUUGACCCACCUGUGGCACCUGAAAGGCCACAGGGACCUGAGGAAUCUGGUAUAGUAACAGCUGGGGGGUGAUCGGCUAGUGGGUUUACUGGAGUCCACCUUGAUUGGCCUGAUUGGUUGGCUUGUCUGGUGAUCCUCCUGAAGGCUGAUAAUUUUGCUAGCUCAAGACAGAAACGUGGCCUUGAUCUGGAGGGAGAUGGCCAGUGCUGGAUGUUAGUGGGCAGCGUCGUCCGGGGCCUAACCUUGCCAGGGGCGUUUUUAGGAUCUGCCAUUUUAAUGGUAUAAUAGCAAAGUACCUUAAACAUAGCUUUCUAGUGCUGGAUGGAUUGCCAUCAUGGGAAAAGAUAAAUAUGUGAUAGGACUGAGGAAGGAAAGUCUACUAAUGUGUUUAUGCAGCUAAGGAAGAGGAAGUCAGGAGAGGCUGGUGCCUGAAAAAAAGGCCGAGUCAGGAUGGAUAGAAGCUGUGUGCCAGGGUCUUGACCCCUGUCCUGAGGGGCUGUGUGCUGGAGUGCAGGGCUGCAGUGAGAUGAUGUGUCAAGUAGGGGAGGACAGGAUUGGCUGUCGAAACCCAGGGAUGGUUUACUUGAAAAUUGUGUAUACUUGGCUACUUAAAAAUAAUAGCGUCUGCACUUGAUGUACUAAGAAAGGGAUGGGAAAAAUUUCUCAUGCUUCCAUUAAACUCUGCAUUUCUGAGGAAAGCCAAACGGCCCCGGUGCCACAGGUGGCAAACAGUGGCUUUUUGAAAAUAUGGAACCCCCAAUGGAAAGAAUGUAUGUAUUUCUUUACCAUUGAGUCUCUGAACAGCACCAUUACAGCCCCGUUCCUUGGUAGCCGCACGUGAUGCCCUGGGCUUCCCAAACUUAGUCUCACCUCUCUACUGAUGCUCUCAUGGCACAUGUAUUCAACAAGUAAUUGUGUUUCUACUUACAUUCUGGGAUUCUUACUCAUUACCAAAAGCACAAGGCAUAUCUCAAGUUUGGGUAGCUACCUGUCAGCUUUCUGGGUUUAUCCCUGUAGCCAACAAAGAGAAGGCAAAGUAGAGAGAGGGAAGGGAGGUGGGUGAAAGGGAAGGGACCAGAAACCACGAAAAACAGUAUUUUUUUGGUAGUCAUUUUCCUUUUGGUCUGCGGCUUUGCAGGGAGGAGGUGGGUGGUGAAGUUUGCAGAAGUGCCUUCUCUGUAGCCCAUUCAUGUCAUUAGUUGUCAGUGGGUUUCUUUCAAUUGAGGAAAAAGUGAAAGCAGAAAGAGAAGGUAGAAAAGAAUUUAGGCAACUAUGAAGUUUCUCAGCCUCUCAGUGACAAAUGUUUUCUGAGUGCUGACUGAGUAGUAAUAGACUUUGAAGCUGUACAAUUAAUUACUUUUCAAUCAAGACUUGCUGCUGCCAUCCUUUUCCCUUCAGCCUCUCCUCUGCCCGCCUUGGCCGGUGGAGGCAGUAGCAUACUGCUGUCUGCAGAGGGGUCUGCGUGGCCAGGCUGUUUGAAGCAAAUGCCAGCUAAAGGAAAAUGGCCUCAAAUGGAUGAGGCAAGAUACCAGGUUAGAGGCAGAUGCAAGGCUGAUAUUAGACGUAGUGGAAACAGUCUUUAUGAAAAUACUUGAUAUGCUCAGAUUAAAAAGCCCCCAUCGUGAAUUCAGACCCCUUCACUCAGCUAAUUAGCUAUAGCUCAGCAACCUUCUCAAAAGGUGCCCCAAAUUCUGUUUCAGCCAAGGCAUGCCACUGUCCUCUGACCACCUGUGCUUGAACAGUGGGUCCAGACAUUUGUGGAUUCCUUCUCCAGACUAGCUGAUGAUGAAGCAGAGAAUUUCAGGGGAGGAGAGGCCAUUCCGGAAAAGAUGAACAGCACCAUGGGAAAGCAACUAAGAGCCAAAAGUAGGGGUUGGAGGGGAAAGAGGAAUCUCGGAAGGUAAAUUUGGCUUUAGUGGAAGCUCUGCUUAAAAUUUCUGUAAUUCAUGGUGGAAAUUCCAGCCACCCUGGGGGCUUCUGGGCAUCAUUAUUUGAGGGGAAUGGUAUAUUUCACCUUGUAGAACAACCCCAAUUACCCAGAGCAAAGUUUCCUAAUGAAAUCUAAUUAAGACAGCAACAUAAGCCAGGACACUCAGAAACCAGCUCUCACAUGGGGUUGGGGGAAGAAGAAACGUGGUCUUCUGCUGGCUACCAGUCUUUGGCCUGUGCCCCUUGGACCCCUCAAGUUUGAGAGUGGAGACCUUGAAGACCAACCUUGCUGUGAACCAAAACCCAAGGCUUUAGCCUUGGAGCUAGACAGCUAGAUUUCUAGGUGUUAAAUCUUUCUCUUUGAGUGUAGCAACUGAAGUACUUGUAUGAAAACUCCACACCUAUGAAAUUGGAAUUUUUGGACCAGGUCUGUAAGAAACUCUCAGGGGGACAGUGAUGUUAACGGUGUCAAAUCUGUGAGCCUCAUUAGUAGCCCUCCAAUGCCAUAUUUGGCUUUUAAAAAUGUCCUUCCUAAUGUUGAGCUGAAGUCUGUCCGUUGAUGCACCUGGUUCUAACCCCCUUAGCCACCAGAUACUUGAAGCUGCCCUCAACCUUUCUCUCUUCAAGACUCUCUUUAUUCCUUCAAACAACUUUCUUUAUAACCCCCAAAUUUCCUGGCUUUGUGACCCCUUUCCCCAUUUCUAAAUCUUCUUUUCUGCUCCUUCCCAGGGGUUGUCUUAUCUGCCCACAUCUUCCUUUUUUCUGUGAUCCCUCAAACUCUUCUUUUCCUUUUGUCUUCCUUAAAUCUCUCCCCACUUUACUGUCACCACUUACCCUCUGUCCCUGCUGCCUGGGUUUAUGUUGGCCUUUCUCAUAGCCAUGUGCCCUGCUAAUUUGUAACAUACUUACCCUAAAAUAAACACACAGGCUAUGCCCAGUGGGAGCUGGGAAAGCAGCCUCCCCAUUUCUACCCGGGAGUAGUUGCAGGCAGAGUCCUGCCUCUGCUGGCUGAGCACUGUCAACAGGUGAUGGUGGCCCCGCAUUGCAGGCUCUUGGCCUUGGGAGAACUAAGUCACUAGGCUGUUUAUUCUGGCUUCUCUGCCCUGUGAAUUAAUGGCCACUAGUGCUUGGACCAGCAUAGCUAUUGGAGGCAUUUGAAAAAACUCCUGAGAUUUUUAAACAAGGGAAAGAAAACAAAUACCAGUAAAAAAUUUAUGCCCCCCCACCCCCCACGUAUGGCCUUUUGAUAUGUAAGAAAGAAAUUAUAAAACAAAAAUGGGUGCUAAAUCACUUUGGGUGCUAAACAAAAAUGGGUGCUAAAAAUUUGACAGAACUAGAUUUUUUUGUUUUUGAAAUAUUUGCUUUGUUUAUCCCAUGCAUGUGUGAUGGAGGCAAAAUUGGUUUUGGGGGAUGCGGUGUGCAAAAAAGUCUUAGCUGUGACAAGGUCCUGCAGUACAUAAACAGAUAAUGGGGUAUAGCUAUAUGUCCGUGGUAUUAAAAUGUCAUGGGGAGGGGCAAAUAAGAAACAUGUCUGAAGAAGCUAAGAGGGGAGUGAUCAUGAAAAAAACAAAGGUUGAGAAAACUGGUUUAUCUCAAAUAGCUGUAGCUUCUAUACCAUUUUUUUCAGGUCUAGCUUAACCAGAACACUUAAAACUGUUACCAAAAAACUUUCAACAACACUUGUGGUCACUUAACCAAUGUUCCCAUCAGUCUGCCGUCUCCCACAGUGGUUAGCCUCUCCAAGCUGCAGUACUGGGUCAGUACUUGCAACCAUGCUGCCUGCUCCUGCUCUGAAAAGCUUGUUCUUAGACACCAAGGUCAGGGACAGAAGGUGGGGAACACACACACACACACACACAUAAAACACACACUAAAUAUGACUCUCAGGAUGGCUAAAUGUUUCCAGUUUAGGGAAAGGACACAGUGGAAUUCUGCAUUCUCUAAACUGCCUUUGAGACCAUUUUGCAACCAACUGUAAAGCAGAUUUGACAAAAUUUACAUGAAACCAACACAAAACAGAUUUCUUCAUAGCUGGUGCUUUUUUUGUUUUUCGGGGUUUUUGUUGUUGUUGUUGUUGUUUUGUUUUUUUUGAGACAGAGUCUCACACUGUAGGCCGGGCUGGAGUGCAAUGGCGCGAUACCUAGCUGGUGCUUUUUAUUUGAUCAACUUUUGAAGUUUUUUGGGACUUCCAUUAGGGUUAAAAUCACUAGUGUAGAGUCAAAUUGGACAACCCCAGGCUUCUUAAGCUAAUCAAUCUAGACAUUUGGAGCUGAAAGGGAUAAAUAGGAUCAUCUCAUUCAGCGACCUCAUUUUAGAAGAAACUGAGGCAGAGGGGUGUUGGGUCUGACCUAAGGCCACUUGACCAUGGCUAGAAGCAACCUGGGCUGCUAGCCCUGGGCCUUUCGUCUUAGAUCCCACUGCUCUAGUUUGGGACAUCAAGUUAUAGGAAAUAGAGUCAUUAGUGUCAAAACCCCACAACAGAACAAGAAAUUUCAUCUCUCAUUCUUGAACAUGGGGAUUAAAGAUGUCAUUUGAGCAUCUCAUCCCUCUGCUGGGUGAUUUUUUAGAGAAGAGCAGCAGUUGAGCUGGCACAUGACAUCACUGGCCUGGAAGCUUAAUUUUAUUUUAGUGAUUUGGUUUUUGUGAUAGGUCACCUUCCAGUUAAGAGACAUGCUUUACUCACACCAUGGUUUCUGCUCAGUUUCCUCUCAAAAGCUUCCCUCUUCUUGAAGAGCAGUAUAAUAAUAACUGAUAAUUGAGGUAAAUCCAUGUAGAUUAUUAAAAAACCAAAAAACCUCAUUCUUACCAACACUGAAGUUUCAGCUUUCUUCCUCCUUAACCUUCUACACAGCUGCAGAAAAUGAAGGCUGAAGCGUCAAAGGCUGUAAGCAACUCCAGGGUGAGAAAGGCUUGCAGUGCAUUAAAGAAACAUCUCAAAACAAUCCCAAACUGUAACAUUUCUAAUUCUUGAAUUCUGAUGAACAUAAAAAGUUUAGUUUGCGAAACUUUAAACCUACAUCGGGUUGACCCCACACAAUAUUGGAACAUUGCAACAUAAAUUCCCAGCUCAGAUAAGUUCAGUUACAAGAGCACCUUUGGGUCGCCCUCCCCUCCCCCACAAAAGCAAAUUUCCAUUAAGCAAAUGAUUAAUGUAGUAAAGGAAAGAACUUCAAUAUUGGGGGCAUAUCAUCAUGUUUAACAAGCUUUAUUCUCCUGCUCCUCCUCCUCCCUCACCCUCCAUUUGAAAUGUUAAAAGUGGUUGGUAAUUCACCUAUGUGGUUAAUGGUAAUAUCUGCUUUUUCUUGAGAGCAUAUCCUCACCCCACAGACCUCACCUAUGUAAAAGGGGCAAGUGGGCCUAUUCAAAUGCUAACCCCAGUUGAGCAGGGUGAGACAAAGGGCCAGCUGGGAGACUAGUGAGUUGGGAAUGCUUGGGGAACUUGCUAGAAAUGGCUCUGGAAAAGGAAGGCAGCUGAAUACCAGUUUCUCAGGCAGAAAGAAGGUUUGCUAGGUCUAUAUAGCAAAAUCCUGUUUUCUCAGGGAGGGUCAUAGGUGCUUUGAGAUCCUCGGGGGUUGGUAUAGCUCUCAGUUGCUUUAUAUGGUCUGCACUGGCUUUUCCACUCUUGAAUCAGGGUGUAAAGAGGGAAGCUGGGGGAGGGGAAUUGAGCGGGGGAGAGUGUGUGCCGGUAGGUAACAGGUUUUCACAAUUGGGCUGUAAUGCAGAUGGCGACGCAGUUUGUGGAAGACUGUCUGAAAGACAGUGUGUGUUCCUAGAUUGCCCCUCCUUGCUACAUGUGAACAUGGUACAUUGCUUACAGUUCAGGAAACCUCCCUGUAUUGGGCUUCUGUUUAAAAAACAGCAAGAUGGGUGUGAGAUGUGGGCUCGACACGGAGGGCUUUUAAAAAACUUGUUUAUUCAUCCUGCAACAAGGCAACAUGCUCAUUUCUCUAAUGAAUAAACCUAGCUCUGUGGGAAAACGGGUCUCCCAGAAUACCCAGUCUGAAGAUAGCUCCCACACUUGAGAGGCACACCAAAAAAAUUCAACACAAUCCCUGGUUUCUCUUGCUUGUCCCUAGAGACCUUUUGCUUGAUGAACUCAGGCUGAGACAUUACCAGAGGAAAAACUGAACACUUAAUUCCACAGAAAGCAACGCACCAUCAUUGUUUACAUUAAGUAGGAAUUUCGAUUUAGGGGCAAGCCAAAAGCGGGGCACGCCUAGCCCUUCCGCAGCCUCCAAACUUCUGAGACUAACAUUGCUGUCGCAGAAAACCACUUGCAAAUAAAUUGGCUUCUCCGUAUUAGGGAAGACCACAAAGGCAUCCAACCACAGUUUGCGCUGCAGCCCGGCAGAACUAAGUCUUGGGCGCCGCGACGCCUUUCCUACGGAAAAGGUCCUGGAAGGAAGACCAUUUAAGAUAUUUUCCUUCCAUCAUCAUCCUUUUCUUAGGAGUUAAGAACCUGACCGUCAUUCAUUUCAAGCCCUCAAAACGCUUUACUAUUCCUCCAAAUAAUUGUCAUCCGAAUAAUUCAAGCCGGCGCAAAAUGAGACACGCACACCAGGAAAAAAAAAAUCAAUUUCCAAGUCGGAUGAGAUUUUUUAAAGACAUUUCACUUAUCAGUCUUUCCCCCCAGGACUGGCGAGGAGAGCACGCCUUCCCUUCCGAAGGUGCGUUACCAGAUUGCGGCCGUUUUUGUGCUGGGUCAUCAGAGCAGAUUCCCCUCCAGGUUACAGAUUCUAAGCUUAACUCCACCCGAGCUGAAGAUGGCCGGAGCACGCCGCCUUGCCUCGCCUCCCCUCCCCAAGGCUGCCGGAGCCGCCGGCCCCUGCCUCCUUUUCGACUGACAGUCCAAGGACUGGCGCCGGAUCCAACACCUUUCCCCAGCUCUGCGCGUACCGCGCUCUUUGGAAACGAAUUGGUCCCUGUCUGCUUCCAAGGGUCCCUGGAACCUUCUGCAGCUGUGCCUCUCCAGAGCUCCGCCUCAUUAGUGCCACGUUCCUGGUUUGAAAACCAUGGUACUUCAACCUCUUCUAGAUGGGAGUUAACCUUUGCCCUCUGAAGGAAAGGUUUGAUAAAGCAAAGAGAGUUUGGUGAACAAGAUCCUUGUGGAGGUAAGAGCUGAUCUCUGACGUCCACUGGGAACUGGCUGCUCUGCAGGUUUCUAUAUCACAUUUUCUGCACAUGUCCAUUAGAAUUGGAGUUGGGGCGUAUCUAGUUUUGAAUAAAGGCCCAGCAGGCCCUCUCAGAUGCACCCUGUCAGACAGAGCAUACUGUGGAUUCUUUAGAAAUGGCUUGACUCAUUCUUGGUGGUGACCACGCCACCCACAGGCACCUAAAAUGAAAGGAUUUUUGUUAGCUGGUUACACCAAACCACCUCAGGCAAUACGUGGGAGACUCCAAACCAGCUGCUGUUAAAAAAAAAAAAAAAAAGGCAGCAGAGCAGUCAUAGAACAGACCCUUCUUACUGCUGCAUACAAGAUGAUCCCAUGGAAUGCAGGCAGCCACAGGUUUAUCCAUAUGUGCUCUGUGUAUCUGGGGCUGCUAGGCUGGUUAGAUUUGUGGUCUUCUUCCUCCUGAGGAGGACCCCAGAGAGAGCCAACCUGAGCCCUCACCAUUGUUCCUUCCCUGGCAGCACUUACAGAAUGAUCCUCUAAGACCUCCCCCCUCCAGCCCUAGCUGGGUUCCUAAUUUUCCAGCUAUUUAAUAUCUUCUUUAUGUCUCAGUGAAUGUUCCCAGGUAGAGUGGCCAGACAGACUCAUACUGACAGUUCUCAACAGCCAGUCCUAUCCUCCUAAAGAUCUCCAGAAUCAGCCAUGUGGACCUGAUGCUAGAGGCCUGUCAGCACUGGGGGACCCGGGAGAAGCAGCUCAGGUCUUCAGCAGAAGCAGGGCGGUUCUCCCAGUGGUUUUCCUUGACUGUGAGGAACUAGCCUGCUGCUUUGCUCAGGAGUGAGCUGCCGGCUCCCCUUUGAUGUGCUGCGUCUGUUCAGAACCAGGCAGGGGUGCUUCACCGCGGCAGCACUUGAGUGAGGCAGUGGUUCAGGGACUCUUCUCCCGGGGCCCCACACAAAACAUUGUUAGCACAGACCUGCCACUCAGAUCAAGGUGGCCAGCAGAGCCAUCAGAGAAUAGCCUUCAGAAGAUGAAUGGCAAGGCCAGCCGGCAGCACGUGAGGCCAGGGCAGAGACGCAAUGAACUGUUCCAUGGCGCCCCGAGCCUGCUGCCAAGGCCGCCUUGGAGCUGAGAUGGAGGCGGGGUGGCUAAGAGGCGAGUUUGAUGUGCAUGUUUGAGAAGAGGGCUCCAUGGAAAGUGCUGUAGGGGCCUUGGCUGGGGACCACGUGAGCCCUUGUGCAGAGAGGGCCUGUGUCUGUGGAUCUGGGGUCCACCACAGGCUACUGAGAUGGGACAGGGCUGGGAGGGUUGA